rnacentral:lncRNA from 1 species
GGGUUUGAUGGGUCCAUUCGGUUCUGCUGGGGUCCCCAAUGGGGUUUCAUGAUGGGGUCCAAUGGGUUCUGAUGGGUCCAAUGGGUUCCUGAUGGUCUCAAUGCUGACCAAUUGAUUCGGUUUCUGGAUGGGUCCAAUGUGUUCUGAUGGCAGCUCCAAUGGGCUUCUGAUGGGUCCAAUGCUGACCCAAUAUUUGGGUUUCUGAUGGGUCCAAUUGCGUUUCUGACUGGGUUCCGCACAUGGGUUCUGAUGGGUCCAAUGCUGACCCAAUAUUGGUUCUGAUGGGUCCCAAUUGGUUCUGAUGGGUCCCAAUGGGUUCUGAUGGGUCCCAAGGGUUCUGAUGGGUCCAAUUGGUUUCUCGAUUGGGUCCAAUUUAUGACCAUAUUGGCUUUCUGAUGGGUCCAUUGGCCGCCAUCUUCAGUGUCCAAAGCCAAUGGCUGCCAUCUUGUGUCACCAAUGGCCGCCAUCUUGGGUGUCCAAAGCCAAUGGCCGCCAUCUUGGGUGCAAUCCCAAUGGCCCGCCAUCUUCUGCUGUCAUCAAAGCCAAUUGAUCCAACUGGCAUGGCGCUGUCAUCUGGGAUGUCCAAAAGCCAAAUGGCCGCCAUCUUGUGUCAUCAAAGCCAAUGUCCAAUGGCAAUGGCCACCAUCUUGGGUGUCCUAAGCCAAUGGCCGCCAUCUUGUGUCACCAAUGGCCGCCAUCUUGGGUGUCCAAACCCAAUGGCCGCCAUCUUGUGUCACCAAUAGCCGCCAUCUUGGGUUGUCCAAAUCUCCAAUGGCUGCCAGUUCUUGGCGUGUCCCACAUCCAAUGGCCGCCCAUUUGUG